rnacentral:snoRNA from 1 species
GCUGUUUCAGGAGGCACAGCCGGCUGCGGGCAGGGCUUUCUCCGUCGGCCACAGACACAUUCCAGGGCGCUGUGACCGCCUGGACCAGUCAAGGGCACUGCUGCUGCCCGGGGACACAGUU